rnacentral:lncRNA from 1 species
GCCCGCCCGCGCCUGCGGCUGCCUGCGCCGGACUGGAGAGCGCGGAGGGCCGACCUGACCCGCCGAAAGGGCCUGAGGCGAGGGGAGCCCGGGUCCCGGGGCCUUGGGGAAGGACCCGCAGCCGCACGCCGGCCCCAAGUGCAAAGCAUUGACACGACCCCGAGCGGAGAGGGGGCGCCCUCCUUCUCCCGCGCCCAGAGGCCCGGCCGCUCUGGCCCGAGCCCCAGCCUGGCCUCCGACCCAGCUCCGGGUCGUGGCGCCGCCUGGGGGUCCCUGCGCCCCGGAAAGAGACAGCAGGCACUGGAAAGCGAGGCCGGUGGGCGGGCGAGUCGGGAGGCUCGGGCGGCCGAGGUCCGGGAGCGGAUCCCAGGUGGCGGGAGCUGGUGAGUGGAGCCAUGGCCGAGCCCUGCUGGGGCCGGCGCGGGCGGGAGCGGGACGCGGCCUUGCGCUGGGGAAACGCGGGGACCCCCUACCCGCGCCCGCCUUCACCGGAAGACUCGGAAGGAACCUGGAGUUCUCCGCAGGCCCGGGCCCCGCCCUGAGCUUUCCAGCGGCCGGGAGGAGCGGAUCCUCGGGGCCAGGAAGGUGAGCGCACCUUUCGCUGAGCACAGGGCGGCACCGCGCGGGCGGACCCCGGAUUCUCCACCCGCGACCCAACGAAUUUUCGCCCUAUCCGGUACCGGAGACGAAAGUCUCCUUCUUCCGAAAUACCGGCUUCCUCUCUUCGCCCUGCCAACCACUUUUUUAGUUUCUUCUCAUCUCUCGGAAGCGCACGUCUCCUAAGUUAAGGAGUGCUGAGUAACGCGUGAGGGAGUUGGGGUGUCUGCGAGCACCUGUGAUUGAAGCCCCCUCUUCUGUGAUCAGUCUUCGUUUUCUGUCUUCCGGCAGCCUCAGUUUCCCCCCCAUGAAGUGAUGGUGUGUGUGUGUGUGUGUGUGUGUGUGUGUGUGUGUGUGUGUGUGUCGGGCCCCGUGUGGUGCCCUCUGUGCGCAGCGAGAGCUAUAACUCAAGGUGUGCACGGGGAGAGUGAAGCGACCACGCACCUGCUUCCAAUCGGGCUCGGGCGCGAACACUCAGGCUGAUUCCUGAAGGUCGUUUUCUGAAGGAAAAGACAGAGCAUGCACUAGCCACGGGUGACAUUCCCACCCGUACAACCGCGUGGUGGGCGCGUACAUCCAACAUUGACCCAUGCAGGCGCCCGCCCACUGCGCACACCGGUCGCAGGGCACUUCGUUGUUGAACGUUGGGAGCAGCGUUUGAAGGCCGGAUCUCUCCUGGCAGUGCGGAUUCGGGACCGGCGGAAGCAGUAUGGCCUCUGCGACCGUUAUCCCUACUUUUCGGGGCCGACCCCAGGGCCCUCACAACUCCUCAUCACCGCAUAUGUGAGCGCCGCCCCCACAGGGUUUUCUCCACGACCUCGUUCUUGGCUAGGUCGCACCUCUCUUAGUACCUCCUCUCUGGCCAGAACGAAUCUUUGACUCCGAGCUGCGCAGUCUACGCAGACGGGGCAGGAUCCACUGCAGUUUUCCACAGGCAAAUACCUGCUGGCUCCACCUUAGGCGAGAUGUGGCCUCUCGGGGAGGGACCCGUUGUGGACACGUUUGCGCAGCCGGUGAGGUGACCAGAUAAUAACCAGGGCAGCUUUCCUUAGCCGGGAACCCAGGUACCGGCCUAGGAAUCCGUGAAUACAUUCGCAAAGUCGCGCGCGCGCGCGCGCGCGUGUGUGUGUGUGUGUGUGUGUGUGUGUGUGUAGACACAUACUUUUGUCCUUGUAAGAGUAUGUGUACAUCUAAAUGUGUGCGUUUUAGACAUUAGUCCAUUUCAUUAGUCCAUCCAUAGCUGGUCCAGGGGUCCGAGGCCUGAAGAGUUUGAAACACUCAGGCCUGGGUUAUUUGACCGAGAAACCUGGCGGCGACAGUGCAGCGGCUGCAUCUGGGGACGGCGACCCCACCUACAGUGGCACCGACCUUCCCUCUGGCUUUCCGGGGCUCUGUCCGGGCCAGGAUCCCACCACUCGCCCCGCCCCGCGGUCCCGCG